GACGAACGCUGGCGGCGUGCUUAACACAUGCAAGUCGAACGGUGAAGCGCCUUCCUUUUUGGUGGGUGUGGAUGAGUGGCGAACGGGUGAGUAACACGUGAGUAACCUGCCCCCUUCUUCUGGAUAACCGCAUGAAAGUGUGGCUAAUACGGGAUAUUCUGGGUCUGUCGCAUGAUGGGUCUGGGAAAGAUAUUGUUUCGGUGGGGGAUGGGCUCGCGGCCUAUCAGCUUGUUGGUGGGGUGAUGGCCUACCAAGGCGGUGACGGGUAGCCGGCCUGAGAGGGUGGACGGUCACACUGGGACUGAGACACGGACCAGACUCCGACGGGAGGCAGCAGUGGGGAAUAUUGCACAAUGGGCGCAAGCCUGAUGCAGCGACGCCGCGUGAGGGAUGGAGGCCUUCGGGUUGUGAACCUCUUUCGCCAGUGAAGCAGGCCUGCCUCGUUUGUGGGUGGGUUGACGGUAGCUGGAUAAGAAGCGCCGGCUAACUACGUG
rnacentral:rRNA from 1 species